GAGAAUUUCUUGGGCGUGUUUCAUCACCGCGCUCAAGCCACUUCCAAGUAGGAUUGGGAGCGGUCUUGGGAGAAACCAGCGUUGCCAAUCUUCCGCGUCGCUUUGACGUCUAAUAUGUCUUCAGUUAACUUAAAUUACACUUGUUAUGUAUAAUUAUGGAAUUAUAAAUAUAAACAAUUGAUAUUUAGUUGAAAUACAGCGAUAAUAUCUUCAUUGUAAGGAAUAUGUGCACGUAUUUUUGUUCCGUCUGCAUCUUCAACGGCACCACGGUGUAAACAAACAUUUAGCAGGGCGGCGCCUCGCCAGACCACACCUACAUACGGGCCUCAACACUUUCAUCAUCACCCUGGAGAGGCUCAGACGUCUCAUCUGUGCCUUCGCAGUCACCUACUAACCACGCCAGUGAAACAGGGGCUUGCAACAUGAUGAAAUCUUCCCGCGUACAAUACAAAAGGAAGGGAAACUGGAGAAAGGAGGCUUCCCUUCUCCUCCUGGAGCUGGUAACAGCUAACCGGAGGAUUGUUGAAGGGAAAAAAUUUAAUCAACACGUCACAGCUCGACAACGGGCGGAGGUCUGGGAGAACAUCACCACCCAGAUCAAUGCGGCAUUUCCUGAAGUGAUGAGGGAUGUCACUGAAGUCGAAAAAAAAUGGUGGACCCUCAAAGCGCAAGGGAGGGAGGAGAUCCACCAAUACAGGAAGGCUGUACGUGGAACAGGUGGCGGACCUCCUCCUAAGGAGAUUUCAGAGGUGGCCCUGGCCGUGGAAAACAUUUUGGGGGUUGAGAACCAAAGCAUUUCAGGCGUUUCCGAUGACUUGGAUGCAAACAGGCCGACAUUUGACCCUACCAAAUUGGGAAGGCGGUUGCCAAGUGGUUCAACCAUCGCUGUGGGAUGGAAUAUUAUCAACAGAUCUUCCAUGAACACUAACUUCAGCGACUUUGUGCAAGAGUCUUCAAAACUACCCUUCGAGAAAGCCUACUAUGCUAUAGGCAGCAACUACAAAAAAAUAAAAUAAAAAUACAAGUUUAUUAAUGAAAUAUUUUGGUUCGCAGACUUAAGUUCGUUAAAGGAAGUUUAAUGUACAGAAGCUAAUUAGUCCACUCGUGAUUUUCAAUGCAAACUUAAAAAGCCAAUUUUAGAAACAAUUAUCUUACCGAUCACUUGUACUAACCUCUUUUGUAUGUGUUUCAGGGAACAUCAAGCUGCGAGCAGUGCCUCUGCAGGAGCUGUGUCUGGGCAGCACCAUCCAGGGCAGUUAUGUGACCAACAAGCCGUGGACAGUGCCUCUGCGGGAGCUGUGUCUGGGCAGCACCAUCCAGGGCAGUUAUGCAACCAACGAGAAGAAAGCUGUCCUGCCCCCGAUGCAGAGUGCAGCAUCGUGAUGGUCACAUCAACUUUCAAUGAUCAGCGUUAUAACAAUGAAAAGAAACAACUAAAACUUGCACUUUUAAGAGCAAAUGUUUCACAUGUGAUGGCCCAAAAGAGGGCCUGUGACGCAGAGGCACUGUAUAAAACCGCCUUGACCAAGAAACUGAAGGGAAAAUAAACAAAAUAGUUCUGAAA